CCCUUGGAUCCUAGCCACCAUGCUGUGAAGAAGCCAUGUGGUACAAAGAAAGAUGUGGGUUUUUUGGUGGCAACUCUGGCUGAUAAAUAGCUUUCAGAAAUGUUCCAAGAUGAAGAUUCACUAGCUUCACUAGCUAGCUUAUCAUAAUCUUCUCAGAUGGAUGGAAGGAGACCAAGAAAUCAAGCUGAAAUACAUAGCAUAUGUAAUAAUCACCAUACCUAAAAGUCAAAGGUCCAGCAUGUUGUAGGAACAGUAUCUGAGAAUGUUAUAUAGUUUAUUAGGAGCUAAAACUGUCAACUUAAACUUAUGAAAUGCCAGCAAACAUCAUAUAUAAAAGUUAAUUUAAUAACAAUAUAACAUUCAAAUACCAUUUAAAAAUUGUCAUCAAGGCUUUUAAAAGUCAACAAUGUUUUUAAAAGUUUAAACAUUUUGUUUUAUUUUCCACUGUAAAAGUAAACAAACUGUAUCAUAUGAUAGCUAAAUACUAUCUAAAAUAGUAAUAUGUACAUCAGACAAUAAUAACUAGAUGAAUAAAGAUUCAAAAGGCAAUAUAUUAUAGCACGUGAGUCAUUAGGCUUUGCUAAAAGCCAAACAUGUCUAACACUGUCCCACCUGAUGACCUUUUUCCUUGGUAUUCCCUCUACCAGGAGUCCUCUACCCAGAUAUCUGCAUGGUUCUUUUCUUAUUUCAUUCAGGUCUUUGUUCAAUGUCAUUUUGUUAGAGGGAUCUUCUCUAAAAAUUUUUUUUUAUGUGUUGGCAAUUGAACACCAAUAAAAAAUAAAUUUAUUUUUUAAAAAAGAACCCUCUAAACCCAACAUUAACAGCACAAGAAAGGGAAAAAAAAAUGGAUCUCUCUAAUCACCUUCACUAAAAUAGUGUACUUUUAGAGCUUUGCUUUCAGGAAAUGUACUGGAUUCCUUUAAGAAUCAAGCCAAUAAGAAGCUUAUUUGGGAAAAUAUCACCCAUUGCCUUAAAAAAUAGUAAGCCAAGAGAAGGAGUAAGUGGCUUAUAGAAGGUGGCUCGCUACCUCAUAGGCCUCACUGGCUCAGAGUUCUAUUGUGUCACUUUGCCUACCUCAGUGUCAUGAAAAUCCACAAACAGAUGAGGCAAGAGAUUGAGGAUACAUCCAUUAUCAAUCUUUUAUAAAUGACCCAGGCUAAAAAUAGGAACCGUCUCUUAAACACUGUCAAUCUUGGGAAAAGAAAGAAGACUGUGAGAGGAAGGGAAGGCAGCUACAAAGGGAGAGGGAGAGAGAAAAUCUUCAGGAGG